rnacentral:rRNA from 1 species
CCUACGGGUGGCAGCAGUGAGGAAUAUUGGUCAAUGGACGAGAGUCUGGACCAGCCAAGUAGCGUGAAGGAUGACUGCCCUAUGGGUUGUAAACCUCUUUUAUAAAGGAAUAAAACGAGGCACGUGUGCCUGUUUGUAUGUACCUUAUGAAUAAGGAUCGGCUAACUCCGUGCCAGCAGCCGCGGUAAUACGGAGGAUCCGAGCGUUAUCCGGAUUUAUUGGGUUUAAAGGGAGCGUAGAUGGGUUGUUAAGUCAGGUGUGAAAUUUUGGGGCUCAACCGUAGAAAUGCAGUUGAUACUGGCAGUCUUGAGUACAGUUGAGGCAGGCGGAAUUCGUGGUGUAGCGGUGAAAUGCAUAGAUAUCACGAAGAACUCCGAUUGCGAAGGCAGCUUACUAGACUGCCACUGACGUUGAGGCUCGAAGGUGUGGGUAUCAAACAGGAGUAGAUACCCGAGUAGUC